UAGUAUCACACAUUAAACCAACAGAUACAGUUGGGAAAAGUGGACAUGCAGCACAGAGUGAUUUCUCCUAGACUGUUGGAUGUCUAAUAACCUUAAGUAAGUCAUGUCCUCUUUACUGUUACUUGAAUUCAGCCCUUCUUAAUUUGAGCUUGUUUUGGCAGACUUCCAUUAUCUUCCAGCUUCUUGAGUCAGAGGCUUUACUUAAAAAGCAAGAGCCCAGCACUUGAAGGGCAGAAAUAGAUUACUAGGUUUCUCUUCAGGUUUCAAAACAGAUAAUGGUUUGUCAGUGCUGCUAUAUGUGCAGCAGGAAUGGUGUUCAAAAAGUGCCUGGGAAUUGUAGCCAGAAAAAGGAAAAAUGAGAGGAUGGAGGUAACAGAAGAAGCAACUGUACUGUUCCAUCAGAGCCAAGCUGUAUCUGUCAGCAGUACUCUGUACAGGGGGCACAGGGCUACAAGCAAGGCUGAAACAGUCACAAAUAUGAAAACUUCUCUUCAUUAAGGCUAAAUGACUGGACACGGUGACUAUAGAAAAGAAAACUACAGAGAGAUUCUUCAUGCUUAUUUCUUAACUCUGCAAAAUACAUCUUUUAAAUUACAUAGAUUUUUGAUUAAUUAAAAAAUUGUGAUGAAGAAGCUUAAUAUAUGACAGACAUCUCCCAGACUGAGUGCCAUGUCUGUGGCCUGCAUAAACCCAGGCUCUCUUUUGCCUGUCCUUCUCAGAUCCCAGUCAUUGCAUCCUGACAAGUUCCAUAAGAAGCAUGUUCUCCUAUCCACUCCUCUGCAUGCUAAACAUAAGGAACAAGGAAACCACCAUGAGCCUCCUGCUCUAACUGAAUAUGAAGCAACCUCCAUCUCUGGUCAGAAUUGCAGUGAGCACCAACCUCUGGCUAGCAGUCCUCCAUUGCUGCUAAGCUUUACGUGAAGAACCCUGUAAACCAAAACUGACAGAAGAGGCUAUUUCCAUAUAAGCAUUCAAGUUCUUCUUUGACAGAUAAAAUCUUAAUGGCACCAAUUUAUUUUCAUCUGAGAUAAGGCUUCUUUCAUUGUGACUAUUAUCUUAUAAUGACACUAUCUGAUACUACAUUUAAAUUCACUAAUAAAGCAUUGAACUGAGUGCUUAACGUUGAAGUGACAGUUCAUCCCUAUACAGCAGAACUCUAAGCAAUAGAGUAUCUUCAAGCAAGCAUUUUGUUUCUAUUUGCUUAACUGUGAUUAUUCAAUAGAACUUACAUUCAUUAAAAGGUUAAACAACACAUUAAGUUUCAGUCUUGAGCUAAGAGAGAAGCUGAAGUCUCAGUUGGGAACAAGUCUGAUAUUAAUGUCUUCUGCCUUAUUUGUGUGUAAUAGACAACCAACAGACAGCUGCUCCUGCAAAUUCAAAACAAAUAGUGAUUUUCUGUCAAGCAAGUCCCAAACAACUGCUGAAGCUGCCUUAGCAGA